rnacentral:rRNA from 1 species
CCUACGGGUGGCAGCAGUGAGGAAUAUUGGUCAAUGGCCGCAGGGCUGAACCAGCCAAGUCGCGUGAGGGAUGACGGUCCUAUGGAUUGUAAACCUCUUUUGCCAGGGAGAAAAGGGCGCCACGUGUGGCGCUUUGCGAGUACCUGAAGAAAAAGCAUCGGAAAAAUCCGUGCCAGCAGCCGCGGUAAUACGGGGGAUGCGAGCGUUAUCCGGAUUGAGUGGGUUUAAAGGGUGGUCAGGAGGAAUGUCAAGUCAGAGGUAAAAUUUCGGGGCUCAACCCCGUCGUGCCUUUGAAACUGGCGAUCUUGAGUGAGCGAGAGGUAUGCGGAAUGCGUGGUGUAGCGGUGAAAUGCGUAGAUAUCACGCAGAACUCCGAUUGCGAAGGCAGCAUACCGGCGCUCAACUGACGCUCAUGCACGAAAGCGUGGGUAUCGAACAGGAUUAGAUACCCCUGUAGUC